rnacentral:lncRNA from 1 species
UGCACGGCGUGCACACAUGCACGGCGUGCACCUCCUUUUUUCAAAAAUUUUGCGUAUUUGAAUGGGAGGAACGCCGUGCAAGGGUGCACGACGUUCCCCUGCUUAAGGGCCGUGAUUUGGAAGCAUCCUAGGGGUGCACGGCGUGCAUAGGUGCACGGCGUGCAACCCCUCUGCUCAUCCAUUUCAUUUCUCAAUCUUCCGUUCGAGCUCCAACCG